rnacentral:rRNA from 1 species
CGGUGUUCAACUGGCGUGUCCGCGGGACGUCCUGCCGGUGGGCUUAGCCCGCAAGGGCGGCCCAACUUCAAAUCCCAUCGCGGUGCUCUUCACUGAGUGUCGAGGUGGGCCGGCACGUUUACUUUGAACAAAUUAGAGUGCUUAAAGCAGGCUAAAACUUCGCCUGAAUACUGUGUGCAUGGAAUAAUGGAAUAGGACCUCGGUUCUAUUUUGUUGGUUUUCGGAACCCCGAGGUAAUGAUUAAUAGGAACGGAUGGGGGCAUUCGUAUUGCGACGUUAGAGGUGAAAUUCUUGGAUCGUCGCAAGACGGACAGAAGCGAAAGCAUUUGCCAAAAACGCUUUCAUUGAUCAAGAACGAAAGUUAGAGGUUCGAAGGCGAUCAGAUACCGCCCUAGUUCUAACCAUAAACGAUGCCAGCUAGCGAUCCGUCGACGUUCCUCCGAUGACUCGACGGGCAGCUUCCGGGAAACCAAAGCUUUUGGGUUCCGGGGGAAGUAUGGUUGCAAAGCUGAAACUUAAAGGAAUUGACGGAAGGGCACCACCAGGAGUGGAGCCUGCGGGCUUAAUUUGACUCAACACGGGAAACCUCACCAGGCCCGGACACCGGAAGGAUUGACAGAUUGAGAGCUCUUUCUUGAUUCGGUGGGUGGUGGUGCAUGGCCGUUCUUAGUUGGUGGAGCGAUUUGUCUGGUUAAUUCCGAUAACGAACGAGACUCUAGCCUGCUAACUAGGCGUAUUUUCGACAUCUCAAAGGUCCGUCGUCCCGGCCCUCGGGUCGUGGGCGUGCGCGAUUUUUACUGUCGGCGUACUAUCAAUUCUUCUUAGAGGGACAGGUGGCUUCUAGCCGCACGAGAUUGAGCAAUAACAGGUCUGUGAUG